rnacentral:rRNA from 1 species
UAAUACGUAGGGUGCGAGCGUUAAUCGGAAUUACUGGGCGUAAAGCGUGCGCAGGCGGCUUUGUAAGUCAGAUGUGAAAUCCCCGAGCUCAACUUGGGAACUGCGUUUGAAACUACAAGGCUAGAAUAUGUCAGAGGGGGGUAGAAUUCCACGUGUAGCAGUGAAAUGCGUAGAGAUGUGGAGGAAUACCAAUGGCGAAGGCAGCCCCCUGGGAUAAUAUUGACGCUCAUGCACGAAAGCGUGGGGAGCAAACAGGAUUAGAUACCCUGGUAGUCCACGCCCUAAACGAUGUCUACUAGUUGUUGGUGGAGUAAAAUCCAUGAGUAACGCAGCUAACGCGUGAAGUAGACCGCCUGGGGAGUACGGUCGCAAGAUUAAAACUCAAAUGAAUUGACGGGGGCCCGCACAAGCGGUGGAUUAUGUGGAUUAAUUCGAUGCAACGCGAAAAACCUUACCUGGCCUUGACAUGUAACGAACUUUCCAGAGAUGGAUUGGUGCUCGAAAGAGA